UCUACUUUAAUCGUGCUUUUAUAUUGAAACAACGCUGGUUUUUCGCUCCUUCUACGUGCAUUUUGUGCAUCGUACGUGGGCGGAGAUAUCAAGUGUGGUAUAUUAAAAAGGGCUGAAUGGGAUACGUUGUUUAUAUAGAUCAUUUCUUAUUGUAAUUUUUCUGUGGUACUUUAUGCCGCGAAGCAUGCUAUUUUAAAAGCAAUUCAAAGAAGGCUUGAUAAAUAUUUGAGAGAUAAAUAAUUAAUGUAAGAAGGACUCAUUAUUUUAAUGGGAUUAUUAAUAAUGGAAUGAAGAACGAAUAGAGUAGCACUACAUGGCAAGUGCAAAGUUUGAAAAUUAUAAUUUAAAAAAAAUAAAAGACUAGAAAAUUAAUUACAAUUUCUGUACAAAGUUGUACAUUUUUCGAGCAUACAGGAGGCAGCGAAUUAUUCGUUGUCUGACACGAUACGAACAGAAUCUCCCGCCGCUUGAAAGAAGUUCAGGCGAAAUGCAAAAUAAUACGAACCAUUGGAGAACGCGGUAGGGAAGGUUGACGCGUAAUACGAACGAAAUAAAGCUGUCAGAAACAGAUCAAAGGAUACGGCGUAUCCUGGGUGUCGAAGCAACUCGUGGAAAUCUGCGUCAACUCCAAGUGACAGGCCACGUGUCCGGGACUGAUCUCGAUGCGAAUUAAUCGGCUCGAAGCUGUCGAUUCCUCGACGAACUUUGAUCCCACUUAACCGAUGAGAAUCGCUAUUCGAAUUUUUUGCGUUUAAUCCUGUAGUUAUUAAUAAGUGCUUUAAUUACUAAUCUGUCUGUAAGAGACGUAGUCUCUUUUUCGCACGAAAUUUGGAACAUUGCCAAUUUGGCGGUAUGGCCAACACGACCAUCUUUAUGACUAGCUUUUCCAUUGCUUUAAUAAUCAAUAAACAUAGAUAUUCGUUCGAUUUCGUAUCAAAUAAUUUGAUAUUUUAUUUAUUAAUCUAAAUUCGGCGAAGAAAAUCUUUGAGAUUGAAGACAAAUUUCCUAUGGAUAUUUUAUACCGUCCUUUUGCUAGAUGAGUGAUUUAUCUAAAAAAUUGUCAGUUUUGAAAUAUUUACAGAAGUUGUUUCUACGUGUCAAAAAAUCGAACUGUUUAUUAGGAUGGCAAUGUUAUAAUUAUAUAAUAAAAUAUUAUAGCAUUUAUUAUAUAUAUGUAACUCACACUACACAAGAAUUUUACAUGUUUCUUGAUUAAGAAGGAAUUUUCUUUAAUUACGUCACUCUUUUAUCAAAAGAUGAUAAUGUGAAAUAAAUGACAACGAUAUUAAGAUUAUUAUAACGAUUUAAGUUCUUAAUGAAGUUGUGCAUGCUUGAAGAAAGACAGUAAUUUCAUGGGAUAGAAAUAAAUAAGUAAACGUUCGCAUUAAUUAACGUCGCGUGUCGACGAGUUGCGUGCGAUGAUAGUGCGUGUCGCGUUACCAGCUAUAUAUCUGGAAUCCUAUAAUUCUAACCUUCGAAGGUAUUUCCCUUCGUAGGCGUCGUGCGGUGGUUUUAAGGUCACGUGCUAACGAAAUCAGACAUAAACUUCCACUAAUUCAACAAACACCUGACCUACAAUUAAUCCGAACUACCCCAUUCUCAGUACUUAACUCGUUCGAAGUCGAAUUUGUUCCGUUUAUGUAGAGAAAUGAAAUAAGCGACAAGGUUUCGGAGGUGAAAAAUACAUGUUUUAGAUUUUAGAUGAUUUCAGUUCUACGCAAGGAAUGAAAGAAUACAUGUGUCAUUGAUUCCUAAACUAAUCUGUGAUGACACACUGUAUGCAUCAUAUGCAUAAAACUUUGCUUUAAUCUUUACGUAACAUCGUCUAUUGCUUCGUUUCAGUAACGUAUUUCCCCAGAUAGCUUUUUAAAAAUAUGUUUUUAAUACUAGCUGAUAAUAAAAAUUUCUUUUAGAAACCUGUGUUAUUGGCUGUUUUUAUCAGUAAUGCGUCACCGACUUCAAACAGAUUAAGCCUUAUAUUCCAUCUCUAUGCUUUCUUUCAUACGUCAUUGCGCCGAUUAAUCUCGUGAUACGAGUAUCUUUCCGCAAAAGAAUCGUAAUUUCAAUGCGACUCUGAUCCCUCGAGAGGAAAUCGGGAUUUCCAUUCGCUCGACUUGUCAAUCGAAAUUUCUCCGGUGUCCCCGAAGCAAUUUUAACCUUAUUCGUAGACCAGGGUGAGAAAACAGCACGGGAUGAUGUGUGAGAAAAGACACGAAAACAACGUGGAAACGGUGCGAAGUCACAGUUGGAAUAAAAAUCAGAGUUCCUUUCCGCGUUUCCGACGGGUUUAUUUAAUAUCCAUCGUGUAGCAUUUCUGCAAUCCAUAGUGCAAAGUGACGGUCAGUGGUCCACAACGGAUCGUAAAGCAACUUUUAGAUUGGCCGCGAUAAAAUCGUGUGACUCACACUCCAACUAUUUUCCCUGGCCGUUAUAGCAUUUCGAGCGAGUCCACGAAUCGACCCCGAUUUGCGUACGCACACGUACGGGAAACACUGUCGUGACUCUAGAAAAGGAAAAGAAAUAAAUCCAGGCGAUCUAUAGCUGUAGGAAAGACAAGCGUCGUCGACGAUGUGGAUAUGAGCUAGCGAGUGGGAAGGAAAAAGUGUCAGAGGGAUAGCGUGUCAUCGAUUUUAUGUAACCUAUGUUAGUGAAACGUGAAAUUUGGACGUUCACCUCUCGAGUAUAAUAUAUGACUCGCUAGGAGAGUCGAUAGUGCGUUUUUUAUCUUGUAUCGAUAAAAUGUCAAGUCGUCGUUUGGUCGUAUAACGUAUCGUAUAAGGAAGUGUUAUCACAAAGUUUCGGGUUAGGUUUGCUGUGUUAAUAGAAAAUAGAGGUUCAAAGGAAAUGAUUAAGUAACUAAACGAAGUACAAAAUUUUAAAAAUGAAAUGACAAAUAGACUCUAGAUGUUUAUGCAAAUUCGUAGCUUUAUGAGUAACUCCGAUAAAAAAAAAAGUUUCACCCUGUAAAUCAAUAUUUUGUGUAUUUUUGUGUAUCAUGUACUUUCUGUACAUUCUUGCGGCCAAAAAUUUCCAAUAAAUACAUAAACAUCCGUAGUCUAAUUAUAAGUCACGGUGAAUCAUAUUCACUCAACAUCGAUGAAAAUUUAUCCUUGAAAAACGUUGAAUUCGACACUCUAACUUAUUUUUAUACACUUUGAAGACAUUAAAUAGACACGUAUGAAACAUUUUUGUCAAUUUAGUAUUCUAUAUGGUAAUAUCGGCAAUAUUAUAAUUUUUAUAUAAAAUUGUUUUUAAUAUUAAACUUUUACUCGAUAAAAUAACACUUCGUGGAAAAGUAUUUAAUACUUGUUCUAAAUAAUCGAUAGGAACCACGCAUAAUGUAUCCACACUCCGAUCGAAAUAAAAUGGAACCAUGUUAAGUAUUAUUUUGGUUGACCUCGUGUUCGGAACGAAUGAAAGCUACUAUAGAAAGGAUUUGGACAAAUCGAUACCACCAAGCAACUCCCCGGUGCCAAUGAUUCCAUCAUUUUAGAAUCUCCAGACUUGGAAACAACGAAAACAAUGUUGCCUUCGAUGAUCAUUUUCUUCCUUUUAAUCGCUCCACGGAGAUAACUUCGUUAUUUUUAUUUUAUUCGAUCAACAAAAUCCAUCAUCCUCUUGUACCACUGUCUGACCUUCGGCCCUCGUCGUAAGAGAAGGAUCGCCAGCGGGAAAUAAACGAGUAAAUUGCGAUUGAUCGAAUCUUCUGUUCCAAUAUGUCGUCGAUCGGCACAUCUGUUUUGUCAUCCCGUCCUUCGAUCAACCCCUAUCCAUCUAUAGAAACUAUUUUCACGGUGGUGGAGAACAAAAUAUUCGUCUGUAUCAAGAAAAAGGAAAGAAACAUAGAAAAUAUUAUAUAAGGCGUGGUGCAAAAAAUUCGAUAAUAUUUUAUGGAAUUUUUUCAUUUAAGGCACCGAGACACCGAGAAAACCUAGUUUCAAAAAAAAAAAAAAGGUUUUACUAAUAAUAUUAAUUCAAUUGAGAACUUUGAUAAACGCAUAGUUUUUACGUAUUGUUUGAAAACCAAGACCAAGUUAAUUACAAAUGAACAUUUAACAGAUCAUACCAUGUUUUUCCUUUUAUUUGUGAAUAUUGCUCGAUCAGUGACAAAAUAUUAAUUUCGAUUCUAACGAGAAUUUCAUAAUAAUAUUGUUUGAUAGGAUUUGAUGAAACGUUACUAAAACGGAUAACCGAAUGUUGGAAGGAAAUUGUUGCGCUACUUAGAGGGUAUUACAUUGUUGGCUUAAUAUUCAGGAAUCGAUCGAUAGUGAUACAAAGCAUCGACAUACUGUUCAGGAUUACUCCUGAAAAUAAUGAUACCCGUGGAUAACGAACUACGAAAUUACAUGGGGAAACCAUCGCGAAAUCUUGGAUCAACUUUUACCAGAUAUAAUUACAAUCUCGAAGGAAGAACCGUAUUCGUUAACAAACACAUAAUGAAAUAUAUGACAUACAAUUUACAGAAGUCCUUAGAUAACAAAAACCUUCAACCACAAAACAUAUCUUUUGCUUACUCAGACUGUUGAACCUUAUUACACAAUUGAGCUAAAUUAGUUGCCCUUUUUAGUUGAAAUGCUUUGUUUAACAUUUUUCAAUUUUCAAGAUAUCUUGAAAUAUUAAGAAUUCUCCAGAUUUGUUAUCUUUCUGAUCGUUUAAAGUCAGCGACAAGAAUAAUCGGCGAUACUUGCGCGACUUUUCUGUAACUAUCAGUAAAGAAAAUCGUAAAAAGGAAUAGUCGGUUGCUCCACUUUUUAAUCACCCUGUAUAUUAAUUUCACUUCGAACGUGAACGGAAGAACGGAAGAAUGAAAACAAUCGCGGCAAGGGAAGAACAAUAAGACCGAGUUCGAAAGAAAAACAAGAACUAGAAGGAAGGAAGGAUGGAAAGAAGCAAUUUGGAAGGAAGAGAUGAAAUAUCGGGGCGUGAGGGAAAAGUAGAGAAGAAGGCACGGCGAGAGUCGUGAAAGGGUGAAAAUGAGAAAAGAAGGAAAACGAGAAAAUAUGAGGAUUUAGAAAAGAGGCGAGGGAGCUGAGACAGAAGUUGGAGGGAGAGAAAGGAACGCGCCAGUGGUGCGGAUAAGUUUUAUUGCGUUUCAUUUCGCCUGCCGCACUUGAGCGCUUUAUUUAGAGCCAAACGAGCCAGCUGCCCGCGUUUUCUGAUCUCACGGCGCCCUCCUGUCAAGGAAGAAACGCGGACGAUGAUGUAUGCUCGCCCUGUAAAAUCAUUACUUAACCCAUUAGCCGCCGAACAGUGAAAUAACGUGUGUAAGUUGUGUAAAAAAGGACGCUGUUUCGUCUGCUUAAUGGAUUAAGAAUUACUCGGGCAACCAAUGUCGUAAUUCUUAUGAGAAUUCACGCGAGAAAUAUCAUGAUUGCGUUCAUCUUCUGGACGUUCCUCUUCUCGUGGAUGUUUCUUCUGCCUGUCAUACAUUCGAGAAAGUUUCUUAGCCAUGCAUGACAAGGGGCGUACAAAAGUUACACGCCAUGCGGUAUUUCGAGUGAUUAAAGGGACUUUCGUGGAACAGCUUCUGGAGCAAAGUUACUAGCAACAAAUUUAAGACCAUCAGUUUUGAUGACUUAUCUUUCCAGCAUGACUGGCGAACAUGUCUAAAUGUCGGGGAAAAUGCUUUUGUAACCGUAAGAUUUUAAAACAGGAAGCUAAUGUUCCUAACAUUGUAAAGAUCAGUAGAAACUACAUUAAUCGAAUAUUUUUUAUUACUUUUCAUUAAUUAACAAUAAUGAAAUCAAUACAUAUUUUUUAUGGUUUUACGAAGAGGAUAUACUGCGCUAAAAGAAGACCAGUUUCACAAUCCACAAAAAUUUUCUUGAAACAUUGCAAGUCUUUUCGUUUGUUGAAAUAAGAGCAAGAGGGAGACAGAAAAAUUCACAGUAACAGAGAAUGAGCCAAGGAUAAUGCCGGUAGAACCAAUAAUCUAGAGAUCAUUACCGAUUGUCGUUACGAUAAGAACAUACGAGACAAACGUAAAUGUAGCUGGAAGAUUUAAAAGGACGUGUUCACUUUGUGCCUGUUGUCUCGUUUACGACACCAUUGAAGCUAACGUAGCUCGUAAACCAAGGAAACUGAACUGCUGGAUCGUUGCACGGAAUACGAAAUGCCCGGUGAACAUUUUAAAUUCCAUCGAAACACGUUUAAUUAGCACGUGCACCAAUGUCUCGUGACGUCUCACGGAAUCAACGAGCCGAGAAAACUCAUCGUGCGACCAAUUCCGGCCGAAUGAUCGUGCUAUUUUCGCGUGUACUGCACGCACGUCCGAGAUGACGUGACUGUGCCAGGCCGCUUCUUAUUCGAGUCGCGUCGCGAAUACGAUGCUUUGUAGGCGAAAUUCUCGAAAUUGACGAUCGGCGUGCCGCUUUUGGCAAUUAGGAAUCAUGGAUGCGUAGGUGGAGCUUUGUGACGAAUUCCCUUCGUUACAGUGGUACACCGUUUCCCUUUUAAAUAGAGGAAUCUGGUGUGAAUAAUUCUUUAAUUUUAGAAAUUUUAGGUAAUUCCAGUAUGGUUGGUCCAUAGCUUUUGACAAUCAACUGAGUCAACGAUUAUUCUUGCGUAUGGGAAAAUUCAUUACAGUUUCGGUGCAUUGAAAUGUUAUUUUCAAAUCGAGAACAGCGGAACAAUUUUUAGCGGAUCUUCGAGAUUUAUAUCUAACUUGAAUAUGAAUGGUUCUAUCUAGAAUUUUUUAGACGAUUCAGCUGAUUGACAUAUCUACAGCUCCUGACGAUUGAAAAAUAUAGAAAAUUAAAGAAAGACAGGUUAAAAUUGGACAAGAAAAAUUUAGAAUAAAUUUUACUCGACCGAACCGAAGACAAUUAACCGGCCAUCCAUCCCAUAGGUCCAUACCUGUUACAAGCUCGCUAUUUUCCUGCGCUUUGGUCCUCGUUCGUGCGCAUAACCAAAUUAACGGUUGAAUAACUGUGUCUCUUUCUCUAUCCAUCUCUUUUCGUAACCAUUCGAACGUUUAGAUCCGCGAACCGUUCGAAUGAUUGAUUACACGCCCGAGGAUUGCUGACUUAAAAGAUCAUUAAAAGAUCGAUGGAAAUCUGCGAUGCAGCUGUGCAAUGUAACACAAAAACACGCGCAAACACCGAGAAAAUACGUCACGGUAUAUUCCAAAUACACGUGCGCGUGUAACACGAAAAUCUCAGCCAAGUUUGGCCUCGGAAAAGGUGCUGAAUUACCAGAGGAAGAUACGCAGAAAGUUUCUAUUCUGCGUGCUGAUACGGCCGAUAACAAUAGAAGCAGUUGUUUCUACUUUUGGAUCUUUCUUCCACAAUGCACCGGAUCAAACCUUUUCACAGUUUAUACGUAGCUUCAUCCGAUUAAACGAGAUAUAGCAGGUUUACGGAAGAUCGCAAAUAUUCUGACGAAGUAGGAAAUAAUUUUAUUGUAAAUAAAUAAAGAAUUAUUAAAAUAAUGAUUAAUACGAAUUUCUGUGGAUGUUUGUCGUUGAUAGAAAUUCAUAAUUAUAUGAAAACAAGUAAAAAAGGAGGAAUAUGAAUAGAGUUUUGUUUCAUCUAUGGAUUUAAUAUUAUAACGAAAAUACUACACUCUGAAUGCUUCAUAUACUUUUUAAUAUUCUGCGCAUACCUUCAAAUUUGUCGGAAAUGCGUAAAAAUCCUCAAUCUAAAUAUUAGUAUUUCUUGAAAUUCACGCUUUCAAAGUCGUUGAUUACAAAGCCACGAAGCAAAAUAAGUAAAAUGAAGAAAAUAAUUCCACGUCGAAUUGUAUCCAAGCACCAGCUGUGUAAAGGCGCGUGCAUAGAGUGUGAAAUGUGGAAGCGCAUGUGUGUGCAAACCGCGUGGAGAAGGACAAGAUCGUGCAAAUAUCAUGAUUAUACUUACCAUAGCAUCCGUUAGACGCGCUCCACCUUUAAAGCAAUCCAUGCAGACCGCGUUGAUUCACCCUCCUGUUUGAACCUUUUGAUUGUUGAUCAAUGGUAUCGAUCAUUUUCUCGAGUAUUGAAUAAUUGCACGAUAUUACGAUGUUAAAAGAGAACGUGAGGGGAAAAAAGAUCAAGCAAAUGAACGAGGUCUUUCACGUUUCUCGACCGGAUCCCAACAAUAUUUCUUUCUUCUUUUCUAAUGGAAGAAAAGGAAAACGAAACUAAAGAAAGAUCACUGAAUAAAAAUUCAAUAGACGAAGAAGUCUAGAGGGUGUCCAAUUUACAUAACAAUUUGCACAGGGAAUUAAUUCGAGGAGGUUCUGUUGUCCCUUUACACGUGGGACCAGCAGUCGUGGAAACCGUAUGAACGGAAGAAGCGCGGUUCGCGUUAAAAGGUGAUUUCUCGCCGAGAUAAAACGCUAGUGAUUUGUUUUGUCUGCUUCUCUCUCUCUCUCUCUCUCUCUCCCGCCUCCGUGAUAACGGUGGAAAUUAAUCAAAGAGCAACGUUUACAAGCGAUUACGAUAUAACCAGUAGGAUUUCAUAAGCGAAAAUGAGAAAAAAGCAUAUUUAAUGGAAACGAAAGAAAGAAAGUGCAGAAAAAUCAGACAUAUACAGAGUGUUAAAAGAGAUAUACAUGUGGUGUGAAUUUGAAUAUCAAAGCAAUGAAGAAAAUUUAUGUAGUAAUAAAUGACAUUUAAUAUCUACCAAUCUAAUAAUUUUACGCUAGAAAUACAUUGAUAGCCGUAUAGAAUGAUAAUGGAUAUCUAGAAUUGUCUUGAUGUCUAAAAUCACACCACAUAAAUGUUACCUACUUUUUUUAGCGCAUUGUAGAAGAGCAUUUUUUCACGCACCGAUUACCGAGAUACCUUUCCUGUUUUUUGUAUACGAUUCUUAUCGCCUCUCGUUGAAACCGUGAGAGCUCUCACAGAGAUUAUCCCGUAAUCAGCGAAGUUAGGAGUGGAGAAUGGCAAGAGGAACGAUCCUACAAGUCUUUCAGUAAAGAAAACACGGUGAUGCGAGGACGGCUUGAUUUCACGGUGCUGGAAAAGCGAUUUUGAAUGAACUACCCCGGCCAUUCGCGUGCGCUCGUUGUUUCUUAUUUUCAGAAACAGACGAUUCACAGCGAACAAGAGACGUCUUGUCUUUUCAAGAUUAAAGGAAACGAAAUAGAGUUUUUUCGCUCGUGAUUCUUUCUUUGGUCGAACGAGAUCCAUCGGAGUUUCCUCGGUAAAGUAACAAGUUGAGCAGAAACAAAGGAAGUAGAAUAGGAUCUUAGUCGGGCACAGAGAAACACAAGACGUUUCCGCGGCCAGAACCGGGAAUGCGAAACGAUACAUAUCGAUGAUUCGAUAAACAUCCAAGUUUCUAUCUUUGAACGGCGAUAUAACUUGAUUAACCGACAUGCACCGAUGUUAAAAUAUCGAACUUGUAUCCCUAAAACGAGCCCAGAACAAAGGAAUUUUACGAUGGCGCUUAAAACUUUCCUCCCUUUCAUUACGCUCGUAAUAUCUAACGGGCGAGGAUUAGGAUAAGGAAAACACAAUCUUUGUGCGCGACGGAAUUUUAAUUUCUUCAGAUUGAUAAUAAUUAAUUCGGAAAUUUAUCUGAGAGCAGAGUUACGAUGCUAAAUAUUAAAGAGGAAAUAGGUCCAGUAUACAGAAUGUUUCGGUAAUCGUGAAAUUCUGUCUUACCAGGAACUCGUUUUACAAAUUGAAAUGUAAGCAAAACCAGUAAAUAAACGGAAAUUUUAUCUAAAGAGGCAUAAAAUUAAUAUCUACCGCUGAUAUGUACUUAGAUAGCACAGAAACUGAUAAGAAAUCAAUAUUAGGUAUGAUAUUAACGUUACUUGUAGACAGGGUGUGGCCUGUAUCGAAAUCUGUAUUCGUCUAUGACGUAGUUAAGUACAGGUAUAUUCAAAGAAUAUUCUUAACAUUCGACCUUUUCGAAAAUAAAGUCUCAUGUAAGAAUUUUCCAUUUAUUUUUUAACUUUCAUUUUCCAGAACCAUCCUCAUCUUGAUUGUACCUCGAUUAUUUGCACACCCUAUAUAGUAAGAUUUCCAACACACGAAACAACGCGAAACACAAUCUUUUAGUUAAGAAUAAGGGGGGGGGAAAGGUUCGAUUAAUUAAAGUUCGUGUACUUCAGGGACACGAUUCAUUACGCGAGGAUCACGAUCACAGACUGACCGAAUAUCUCGUAAGCAUUCCCUCGUUUCCCGUAGUUCAUAAAUAUUGAACGACUGCUGCUGCACACCCUCGAACAAGAACGUCGUUCGUUUAAAUAAUGGAUGCUUGCUCGACGUUACGAAAGAGGGAAAGUCAAAGAUACGAAGAAACGAGUGUCUCUCUUGUAAGAGAGCUUGGUUUCCGUGAUGUUCGCGUGAUGAAUGCGAAUUUCUGCGUCUAACGAAUUAAGCCCAGCGUCUGGUUCUGAUCGAUCUACCUAUCGAGAAAUUAUUUCGGGUCGUUCGACCUGGGAUUCUUUUUCUGCUUACAUAUCGCCCCUCGAUCAAAGGUAUCUUUUAGUAUUUUCAGAGCUGUUAUACGAUUAAAAUAAUAUUGUUAGUAAUAUUUUUCAAGCGAGCUUAUUUGACGAAAAAUUGUAAGAUUAUAUUAUAUAGAUUAAAGAAACCUAUAACUUGUUAAUUCAUUAACAUUGAUAUUUAAUAGUGAUCUAAUUUAUAUAUAUAAUUACAAUAAUUACAGUAUAAUUAUAUAUAAGUUAUAUAUAAUAAUUACAGUUACAGUUACGAUAAUUCAUUAAUUAUAUUGUAAAAUAAAGAUUGAUCUGGAUGCUCCUUUCGGACAAUUAACUUCCAGGCUUUCGAUACCUCGAUAACUCGAUACCUAUAAGCUACGCGUUCAAUCGUGUCUGAUCAUUGACGUCUUGUUCCACUGGCGCUGAGCGAAAUCUUUACGAAUAAAUAUGAUCUGAAGGAUCGUUUUGAAACCGGUUUCGUAUUGUUGGAUAUAAACAGAACAGGAAAGAGGAAAGUACGAGGAGCAACAACUAGAUAUAUAUCGGACAAGAGUAAGAUACUUUUAAAUUUAAUUUAUUCGAUGUCUGGACGAAUAACGGCGCCCGCCGUGGAAUAUUUAUCGAGUGUUUUCUAUUUUCAUAUCGAACCUCGAGCGAUAUAGACCGACUCAAAAAAAGUAUUUAGAUACUUUCAUAGGUGUAUUAUGUGUAUUUUAGAAAACAUUUUGAGAGAAAUUUCAUUAGUACCAUAACGAAACAUAAUUAUCAUGAUUAUGUUGGCAAAAACAUAUAUAGCAAACAUAAAAUCAUUUACGAUAAUGUUCGCACAUCGUAUUUGCGUUCCCUUUGCGACCGACUUCGUUCGUGGCGUAUUUAGUCUCAAAUUAGCAUAGCUAUGUCAAUUGGGCGGAUCCAAAAGUCGACGUGAAAAAUGCUUGUCGUGCGGAAUAAAUGUACCCACUGUGGGGCCGAUAAGCGUCAUCAGGACGCCUUGAAACACGAGGAACUGCGUCGUGGAGAUUUAUCGUCGCCAGAAUGUAUCAGUGGCCUGCUGGUGUUUAAUUACCAUCCUUAAUUAACGGUCGACGCGAGGAAUUCACGGAAGAUGAAACGACACUAUGGGACACCCGGUCGCCCGAGUGAAAUUUACUUCAUCAUUUCUCGUAGUUUUGAAAACAUUUCUAAUUACCAUUCCUUUUUUUAGAUUCUUUCCUUUCUUUUGUGUUAUUAAUGUUAUUGGGCUUAAAACAAUUCGAUAAUGUUCAUUCCGAAUUGUAUAGCAAAUACAAUUAUAUUAAAAGAAAUAUACGUUGCACACGUUGCAACAUUUCAGCGCAUGAUUCGCGGCUCGUAAAAGAUUCAUUAACGGCACUGCAACGGUAUUUAUAUUCUCAUUCGCAAUAAUUUGUAAAGUAGUACGGUGAUUAAGGCUAGAAAAAGUAGAAUGGAUAAUAAAUAGCUCCGAGAAGAUCAGGACACCGUGUCGUAAAUUAAUACAUCGUUUAUUUUUUGUGAGCGUUAAUAAUACACUUUUUUAUUCGUGUAGCAUGGCAGAUUUUAAACGAGAAUGAAAAAUCCACUACGGCUCCGUCGGAUUCCUCGUUGAGCAUUAGUUACCGGCUACGUUAUUCUGAUCGCAACGCGCACGUCAUUUGGCAACACGAGUGAUACCGCGGUACUCGUACAACAAUGUUAUAAAUUUACGUCACGAGGAUUACAUAAAUAUUUACGCGUUCCUUAGAUUAUCGGGACGUGUAUGACGGUCUAAUAAUAAUAUCGAUACGUUCUAAUAACGGUUUACUUCGAUUCCCCCAUUAAAGAAUCGCGUACCGGUUGCAAAUUGUGACUAGAAACGGCGAGAAACCAUCGGAAGCUGCCAGCCAGCGUUCAUUUUUAUUUUCAACACAAACUUUCGUCAAUGAACGCGCGCCGGAGCCAUCGCUAAAAUUAGAAACAAUGUAUUUCAUGGCUGUCGAUCGGCCGUCGGGCGCAAAGUAUUUAAAAAUCUUAUCGUUUCGAAGAAGCCUUAAUGGUAGCCAACCAGAGAUAUUUUCGUUCGUUUUAUUUUCUAACGUUUAUAGAACGUUUACAGUGACAGAAGACAUGGCCAUGUACGCGUGGCUGAUUUUAUAGACUCUCCUCUACGCAUAUAACGUACGGUAUAGUUUAACGUUAUAUACAAGUCUCUCUCGUGUUUGCCAGCGAACCGAGCUUCCGUGGUAACCUCUUAUUACAAAAUUCCCUAUCUCACGAAGAAACGAGAGCUCGAAAUAACAAUUCUCUCAAGCAAUAACCAGCAAACGUCGUUCAACGCUUGCCAACAGAAUUCUAAACAGAAGCUUCCCUUGUCUUUUAUAUCUUCCUUUACACCAUUCUCGUUUCCGAUCGUCCGUUCUUCGCGGUCAAAGAAACGCUGACGAAGUUUAAGACUUCGAACUCUAGGAGAUCCAUCAAAAUUCCGGCUGUUUCAAAGAAAAUCAAACAAAAUACGAUUAGCCGACUCGGCGCGAAGCAGCUAGAUCGUACGUUUGGCAUAUUCCUUCCACCUUGAUCUCCCCACCAGCGGUCACUUCUACCCCCAGACCUGACCGUUUUAAGCUUCUUGAUCGAGUUAAGGCACUCUCCAAACGCCAUUCCAUUUCUCUCGUGGCACGUGGCCGACGCAUUUAUUUAUAAAUACCAAUGCUACCGCACACAGCUGUCCGUGAUUGUACGCGUUUGUAUAACUGGACUAGAACAACGUGUGUAUGUAUGUGUGAAGAUUAUGCGUAAGCUCAGGAUGCUCGAUCUUUGUCGUAUAAGAAGAAGAAGACCGGGUUGACUCGCUAUCAAUUCACAAACGUUCACGUUGCUAAUAGAGUUCUUGAACCUACCACGCCCCGUCAAUAUAUCGCGCGCGACUUUCACCAAGCUUUGACCUUCUGUCGCGACUUCAAACGUACUCCCAAGAAAACUUUAAGGCAGGUCGAAUAUUCGUAGAAUGUCAUGAACGUCCCGUGUUCGAGCGCCGUCGAGGAACAGCGCGAAGAAAUUACGAGGGCUCCCCGCACGGUGUUUAGCAAGUAUAUAUGAAAAUGCUUCUAUAUUUGACAAGAGAAAUCUCUGGCAUUUUAAAUAGGAACGGCACGUUUGUUGGUCAGAGUCGAUUAUACUCACGGAAGCGUUAAUGUUGCAGCGACAAAUGGCGAACGACCGAUCGGUGUAAACACUUGUUGCGAAUCGAUUGUUCCGUGCCGCGCUCGUUAAUCGCGUUCGCGUAACGAAUUUGACUCUUGAAAUUCGAGUUUCGUUCCGCGAUAUUCGAGUUUUCAGCAGGAUAUUGUAACAUUCUAUGCGACAGUGAUCGUUCAAUUUGUCUAGGUAAAUCCUAGUUUUCACAAAUCUUUCUAUUUUCUAUUGUAACGUACCGAUGGAAUUAACACAGUAUACAUUUAAAUUAUCUGUUAAAUGAAUUACCAUCAAUAUGGAGUAGAUUUACCGUAAUACAUUAGGGAUUGAUAGUUUUAGCAAUCAAAAGUGGACUCGCGUAAUAUUGUAAUUAAGCUAUAUCCUGCAAAAAAUGAGUAUACCGAUACUUUCUAACGACAAUGUAUACCUAGAAAUAGUCCCUCGUUAGGCAAAGCUCAAUGCUCGCCAAACGACCCUCGAGAUCCAUCGAAGAGGAAACGAUGACAGAAGAACAACGGAUCCGUCCGUCAGUUACAACCCCCGGAGGACUUAGCCGACUCACGAUGCAAUUAGCUAUCGUCGCAGGAGGAGCUCGUUUGCGCGACGAAGUCGAGCCAUUCAUCGAGGGCAGUUCGGCUGCCUCGUCCCGGUUCACAAAGAAGGGAACGAUUCACGCGUGGAUAACGAAAGCUCGUAUCCGCUUUUUCUUCCUUUGUUCUGUGUAGUUUUUCUCUAGUGAGCGUGUCGCAACCCUUCGAUGCUCGCACGGCGUGCAAAGCCUCUCCCGUUUAACAUCAUAACGGCGGAUUGCCUGUCGUUGAUAAAACAGGCGUCACCUACUUUGUAAACUGCCGUCAUUUCCGUUUUUCGAACGCCUUGCGUCACGGUUUGUUGCGUGCCCGUGCGAAAGUAAUCGUCCACCCGAGGAGAGUAUGUCCGUUACAGUUUUAGACGCGGCUCCUUUUUAUGCGGACAAUCUUCUAUUUUUUUUUUCCUCCGCCGCUUUACGCCUCCGCCUCCCUCGCAUAAUAGCUCACACGACUACACAUGCGCUCUGUCGUCGUACUUAAUUAAUAGGUUUCAAAUAGACUGACCUUCCUUCCGAUACACGAUUCACCGCGAUAACGUCGGUAGAUGGAAAUAACCGAGAUUCGAUGGUCUAAUUUUGCUUUUAUUUGGCCGCUUCUCGAUCGCCUAACGGCCACGAACCGCCAACGGUGAAUAGUUUCGAAUAAAUACAGCCGUACGCGAGUCGAAUGAUUUAGCGCCGAUCGAGGAAGCAGACCAUAUGGGACUAUUUCCACUAAUCUAUCGUGCGAAAUGUAGCGUAGGAUUUUUGAAAAAUUUUAACGAUUAUAUAGAAAUGGCAGCGAUUUGAGGAAAAACGAAUCAACCAUAAACGUUACGAAAAUAUCAAAUAAUCGAGAUAUAAGAAACAAUUAAUAACGAGCUAUUUCCACCUUAUUUAUAGAAAAUAUCAUUCAAUUACAUCAGGUCUGAGUAAUUGUAUAAUUUGAUAUUUCUGAUACCAAAUAAAACUAAAAGAGUAGUCGAAGAUACGAAAGUCAAGACUUGUUAGAAUUCCAUGAAAGCUUGAAACACGACUGCGAGAACGUAUGAAAAAGCGAGGUCAGGUACAAAAUCCGAUCUGACAAUCGGGGCUAGGUACGCUAUAGCGUUGUACGUUCAGGUAUCGUUCGAAAGAAACAAACAGAUGAGAACGACAGGCUUGUGGGGUGGUUAGUGACGAUCUGGUGGAGGCUGCGGACCGAAAUACACUCGCAUGGCCAAUUCUUACUAGCACAGACGCGAUUUUCAUUGCACGUGCAACCAACCACCAUCUUAGAUGGUGGCCGCGCUAUUUCAGGCGGGCCAGGCAGUGCCAUGUAGCGAAACAGGAUCGUACACCGACUUUUGUUUACCCGUAGACAACGAAAUCUCUUCGAAGAAUCUCGUUUUUAUCGUAAUAUCCAUCACGAUCGUGUAAAUCGCUAUCGAUACAUGGCCGAAUAUAAUGUUCGUCUGUUGGGUGAACUGGCAUCAAUUUUUAAUAAUUUUGAGGUUGAAAAUAAAGAGAGCGAGGUUCGAGAAUGGAAAAAAGGCAGACCACUAGCGAUCAAUUUUUCAGCGGCGAAAUUCACCGAUGAUUAUUUUAGCGCGAGAUACCCGGCCGUUCCCUAUCAUGCCUGUGUCGAAUGAAAGUUUGCGUGGCUCGAUGGCCGCGAUACUUCAUGCACGACAGAUAUAAGCCAGAAAGGGUCUUCACCCUCGUAAUCUAUACGGAACAGGUUGGAACUCUCCUGCUCGCAUGAGGAAACCGAGUAAAUAGAGAACACGCUCGUAGUUGGAACUGUUGGAAGUCGUUUGAUAAAUAGAGGAACGACCCCGUAGUAAACGUUUUUAGGGACAAUCAACCGGCGAACAUCGACGCGUGUUUUAACCUUACACGUGCCUACGCGGUCACGUGCCUCUCAGCGCCAAUUAAAUCGCAGGCAGUUUGCCCUCCAUAGAUAUCGCGAAAUAUGGGGUAAUGUUUGGGUAACAAAAAUAACAUUCCACCGCUAAAAGGAUAAAAUCAGAAGUUCUGUAAUCGCGUGUAUGAAGUUGUAUUUAUCGCGAACGAAUUUUUUUAAAUAUAAACGUCGGAGCUUCUUUACGUUAGAACUACCUGGGCAAUCCAAAUGACCAAUAGACCAUCUUCUUGGGCAAUGGACACAUAAGGUUGAAUGGUAAAUUGAAUAAAUUGCGUGGUAAGUUUUAGUUCUAGUUUUGUGAUAUUAGCUACGUUUGAAAUGAUAAUUAUAAUGGUUCUUAAGGAAUUUCAAUCUUCUUAUAUUAAUAAAAUAAAGAAAAAUUUAAUAAUAAUUCAAGUAUUUAUUUACCUAUAUAUCCUAGAGACUUCUGAAUUCGUGAUUGUUGAUAGAAAUUUUGUAGAUUUACAAUGCUAUACUUUUGAGAAUUUGAAUGAUUCUUUUAUGAAGAAUAUAAAUAAAUCUUGUUUUUUACAUCAUAAUUUUUACAUUAUAUUUAUUCGUAAACCUUGUACCAAGGUUGAACUACGGACGAAGAAACGACCUUAUCCUUGAAGACCACGCGAGAACGAAACAAACUUAGCCUAAUCGAAGAAAACGACACGGAUAAUGCCUUAAACGAGAGAAGCUCGAGUCGAAACGACAAAGUGGAAUAACGGAAAAGCACGAAAUUCGACGCUGCUCGAGUUCCAUGAAGUGGAGCAAGCGUGUCGUGAAGAGAGGCGAGGGAAAAGCAGACUCGACGGAAAUUCAAUAACCAGUAAAAGUUUCCGUAACGGAGAGAACGAACGAACAAUCUUUCUUUCUUUUUCUGUCUCACCUGCGAAAGAUACAAGCGGCUACCAGAUGAAACAUUGUGAAAUUAGAACCUCGACAAUAAUUAAUAUAGGUCGUUGUUUAAAAAUGACCAAUCAAUUAAAUAGAAUCCUCAAUAAUUAA